UUUUAAUUCCUUUCUCUUUAGCUCAAGCUCCCAUGAUGGCUCCUUCUGGCUCAAUGUCCAUGCCGCCUAUGUCUAGCGGCGGUGGAAGCUCGGUUCCU
rnacentral:sRNA from 1 species